ACUCAAAGGAAUAGACGGGGACCCGCACAAGCGGUGGAUUAUGUGGAUUAAUUCGAUGCAACGCGAAAAACCUUACCUACCCUUGACAUGUACGGAAUUCCGCAGAGAUGUGGAAGUGCCCGAAAGGGAGCCGUAACACAGGUGCUGCAUGGCUGUCGUCAGCUCGUGUCGUGAGAUGUUGGGUUAAGUCCCGCAACGAGCGCAACCCUUGCCACUAGUUGCUACAUUCAGUUGGGCACUCUAGUGGGACUGCCGGUGACAAACCGGAGGAAGGUGGGGAUGACGUCAAGUCCUCAUGGCCCUUAUGGGUAGGGCUUCACACGUAAUACAAUGGUAGGUACAAAGGGCAGCCAACCCGCGAGGGGGAGCUAAUCCCAGAAAGCCUAUCGUAGUCCGGAUUGUAGUCUGCAACUCGACUGCAUGAAGCCGGAAUCGCUAGUAAUCGUGGAUCAGCAUGUCACGGUGAAUACGUUCCCGGGUCUUGCACACACCGCCCGU
rnacentral:rRNA from 1 species